AGGACGAACGCUGGCGGCGUGCUUAACACAUGCAAGUCGAGCGGAAAGGCCCUUCGGGGUACUCGAGCGGCGAACGGGUGAGUAACACGUGAGCAACCUGCCCUUAGCUUCGGGAUAGCUCCGGGAAACCGGAAUUAAUACCGAAUAUGACUUUGGCUGACAUCAGCAGAAGUGGAAAGUUUUUCGGCUAGGGAUGGACUCGCGGCCUAUCAGCUAGUUGGUGAGGUAACGGCCCACCAAGGCGACGACGGGUAGCCGGCCUGAGAGGGCGACCGGCCACGACCUGGGACUGAGACACGGCCCAGACUCCUACGGGAGGCAGCAGUGGGGAAUAUUGCGCAAUGGGCGAAAGCCUGACGCAGCGACGCCGCGUGGGGGAUGAAUGCCUUCGGUUGUAAACCCCUUUCAGCAGGACGAAGCGAAGUGACGUACCUGCAGAAGAAGCGCCGGCUAACUACGUGCCAGCAGCCGC
rnacentral:rRNA from 1 species